rnacentral:rRNA from 1 species
ACUCUAAGCGGUGGAUCACUCGGCUCAUGGGUCGAUGAAGAACGCAGCAAACUGUGCGUCAUCGUGUGAACUGCAGGACACAUGAACAUCGACAUUUUGAACGCAUAUCGCAGUCCAUGCUGUUAUGUACUUUAAUUAAUUUUAUAGUGCUGCUUGGACUACAUAUGGUUGAGGGUUGUAAGACUAUGCUAAUUAAGUUGCUUAUAAAUUUUUAUAAGCAUAUGGUAUAUUAUUGGAUAAAUAUAAUAAUUUUUAUUCAUAAUAUUAAAAAAUAAAUGAAAAACAUUAUCUCACAUUUGAAUGUGAAAAACGAAGAGAAAUAUUUUCUUUUUCAAUCAAAUAAUACUGAGAAAUGUCUAGCAUAAAAAAUUGAAAUAUUUUUCAUCUAGAAUUGUCUCUUAUUAAUGAUUCGGAAAUAGAAAAAUCUUGGUUAUGUUAUUAUUCUUCGUUGGUUCGUUAAAAAUGGAUAAAUAAAAACUUUGCAUACAAGAAUUAAUAAAAAUGUUAUAACGAAUUUAAUUAAAUGUUUUAUCAUUAUAUAUAAAGAAUUUAUGGCAAGAUAAAGUUAUAUACAACCUCAACUCAUAUGGGACUACCCCCUGAAUUUAAGCAUAUUAAUUAGGGGAGGAAAAGAAACUAACAAGGAUUUUCUUAGUAGCGGCGAGCGAAAAGAAAACAGUUCAGCACUAAGUCACUUUGUCUAUAUGGCAAAUGUGAGAUGCAGUGUAUGGAGCGUCAAUAUUCUAGUAUGAGAAAUUAACGAUUUAAGUCCUUCUUAAAUGAGGCCAUUUACCCAUAGAGGGUGCCAGGCCCGUAUAACGUUAAUGAUUACUAGAUGAUGUUUCCAAAGAGUCGUGUUGCUUGAUAGUGCAGCACUAAGUGGGUGGUAAACUCCAUCUAAAACUAAAUAUAACCAUGAGACCGAUAGUAAACAAGUACCGUGAGGGAAAGUUGAAAAGAACUCUGAAUAGAGAGUUAAACAGUACGUGAAACUGCUUAGAGGUUAAGCCCGAUGAACCUGAAUAUCCGUUAUGGAAAAUUCAUCAUUAAAAUUGUAAUAUUUAAAUAAUAUUAUGAGAAUAGUGUGCAUUUUUUCCAUAUAAGGACAUUGUAAUCUAUUAGCAUAUACCAAAUUUAUCAUAAAAUAUAACUUAUAGUUUAUUCCAAUUAAAUUGCUUGCAUUUUAACACAGAAUAAAUGUUAUUAAUUUGAUAAAGUGCUGAUAGAUUUAUAUGAUUACAGUGCGUUAAUUUUUCGGAAUUAUAUAAUGGCAUAAUUAUCAUUGAUUUUUGUGUUUAUUAUAUGCACUUGUAUGAUUAACAAUGCGAAAGAUUCAGGAUACCUUCGGGACCCGUCUUGAAACACGGACCAAGGAGUCUAACAUAUGUGCAAGUUAUUGGGAUAUAAACCUAAUAGCGUAAUUAACUUGACUAAUAAUGGGAUUAGUUUUUUAGCUAUUUAUAGCUAAUUAACACAAUCCCGGGGCGUUCUAUAUAGUUAUGUAUAAUGUAUAUUUAUAUUAUUUAUGCCUCUAACUGGAACGUACCUUGAGCAUAUAUGCUGUGACCCGAAAGAUGGUGAACUAUACUUGAUCAGGUUGAAGUCAGGGGAAACCCUGAUGGAAGACCGAAACAGUUCUGACGUGCAAAUCGAUUGUCAGAAUUGAGUAUAGGGGCGAAAGACCAAUCGAACCAUCUAGUAGCUGGUUCCUUCCGAAGUUUCCCUCAGGAUAGCUGGUGCAUUUUAAUAUUAUAUAAAAUAAUCUUAUCUGGUAAAGCGAAUGAUUAGAGGCCUUAGGGUCGAAACGAUCUUAACCUAUUCUCAAACUUUAAAUGGGUAAGAACCUUAACUUUCUUGAUAUGAAGUUCAAGGUUAUGAUAUAAUGUGCCCAGUGGGCCACUUUUGGUAAGCAGAACUGGCGCUGUGGGAUGAACCAAACGUAAUGUUACGGUGCCCAAAUUAACAACUCAUGCAGAUACCAUGAAAGGCGUUGGUUGCUUAAAACAGCAGGACGGUGAUCAUGGAAGUCGAAAUCCGCUAAGGAGUGUGUAACAACUCACCUGCCGAAGCAACUAGCCCUUAAAAUGGAUGGCGCUUAAGUUGUAUACCUAUACAUUACCGCUAAAGUAGAUGAUUUAUAUUACUUGUGAUAUAAAUUUUGAAACUUUAGUGAGUAGGAAGGUACAAUGGUAUGCGUAGAAGUGUUUGGCGUAAGCCUGCAUGGAGCUGCCAUUGGUACAGAUCUUGGGGUAGUAGCAAAUAAUCGAAUGAGACCUUGGAGGACUGAAGUGGAGAAGGUUUCGUGUGAACAGUGGUUGAUCACGAGUUAGUCGGUCCUAAGUUCAAGGCGAAAGCCGAAAAUUUUCAAGUAAAACAAAAAUGCCUAACUAUAUAAACAAAGCGAAUUAUAAUACACUUGAAUAAUUUUGAACGAAAGGGAAUACGGUUCCAAUUCCGUAACCUGUUGAGUAUCCGUUUGUUAUUAAAUAUGGGCCUCGUGCUCAUCCUGGCAACAGGAACGACCAUAAAGAAGCCGUCGAGAGAUAUCGGAAGAGUUUUCUUUUCUGUUUUAUAGCCGUACUACCAUGGAAGUCUUUCGCAGAGAGAUAUGGUAGAUGGGCUAGAAGAGCAUGACAUAUACUGUUGUGUCGAUAUUUUCUCCUCGGACCUUGAAAAUUUAUGGUGGGGACACGCAAACUUCUCAACAGGCCGUACCAAUAUCCGCAGCUGGUCUCCAAGGUGAAGAGUCUCUAGUCGAUAGAAUAAUGUAGGUAAGGGAAGUCGGCAAAUUAGAUCCGUAACUUCGGGAUAAGGAUUGGCUCUGAAGAUUGAGAUAGUCGGGCUUGAUUGGGAAACAAUAACAUGGUUUAUGUGCUCGUUCUGGGUAAAUAGAGUUUCUAGCAUUUAUGUUAGUUACUUGUUCCCCGGAUAGUUUAGUUACGUAGCCAAUUGUGGAACUUUCUUGCUAAAAUUUUUAAGAAUACUAUUUGGGUUAAACCAAUUAGUUCUUAUUAAUUAUAACGAUUAUCAAUUAACAAUCAAUUCAGAACUGGCACGGACUUGGGAAUCCGACUGUCUAAUUAAAACAAAGCAUUGUGAUGGCCCUAGCGGGUGUUGACACAAUGUGAUUUCUGCCCAGUGCUCUGAAUGUCAAAGUGAAGAAAUUCAAGUAAGCGCGGGUCC